CAAGUCGAGCGAUGAAGUUUCUUCGGAAAUGGAUUAGCGGCGAACGGGUGAGGAACACGUGAAGAAUCUGCCCUCCACUUUGGGAUAACACCGGGAAACCGGUGCUAAUACCGAAUAUUGAAACAUAAGUGGCAUCACUGAGUUUUGAAAGAAUUUCGGUGGAGGAUGACUUCGCGGCCUAUCAGCUAGUUGGUGAGGUAAUGGCUCACCAAGGCAACGACGGGUAGCCGGCCUGAGAGGGCGACCGGCCACACUGGGACUGAGACACGGCCCAGACUCCUACGGGAGGCAGCAGUGGGGAAUAUUGGGCAAUGGAGGAAACUCUGACCCAGCGACGCCGCGUGCGGGAUGAAGGCCUUCGGGCUGUAAACCGCUUUCAGUAGGGAAGAAGCGAAAGUGACGGUACCUGCAAAAGAAGCACCGGCUAACUAUGUGCCAGCAGCCGCGGUAAUACAUAGGGUGCAAGCGUUGUCCGGAAUUAUUGGGCGUAAAGAGCUCGUAGGUCGUUUGUUACGUCGGAUGUGAAAACCUGAGGCUCAACCUCAGGCCUGCAUUCGAUACGGGCAAACUAGAGUUUGGUAGGGGAGACUGGAAUUCCUGGUGUAGCGGUGGAAUGCGCAGAUAUCAGGAGGAACACCAAUGGCGAAGGCAGGUCUCUGGGCCAAUACUGACACUGAGGAGCGAAAGUCUGGGGAGCGAACAGGAUUAGAUACCCUGGUAGUCCAGACCGUAAACGGUGGGCACUAGUUGUGGGAACCUUCCACGGUUUCUGCGACGCAGCUAACGCAUUAAGUGCCCCGCCUGGGGAGUACGAUCGCAAGAUUAAAACUCAAAGGAAUUGACGGG
rnacentral:rRNA from 1 species